rnacentral:rRNA from 1 species
CCCUUAGAUGUCCGGGGCUGCACGCGCGCUACACUGUAGAAAGCAGCGUGCUUUAAAACCUUUCCUGAAAAGGAUGGGUAACCCCAGCAAAAUUCUACGUGCUUGGGAUAGAGAUUUGCAAUUUUCUCUCUUGAACGAGGAAUUCCCAGUAAGUGCGAGUCAUCAGCUCGCGCUGAUUACGUCCCUGCCCUUUGUACACACCGCCCGUCGCUACUACCGAUUGAAUGGUUUAGUGAGAUCUCUGGAUUGACGCUGGCUAGGGGGCGACCCUUGGCCAGGCUGUCGAGAAACUGCUCAAACUUGAUCAUUUAGAGGAAGUAAAAGUCGUAACA